ACCUGGCCCGCGCUCACCUUGAGGCCGCGGAUCUCGCCGAGGUGCAGCUGCAGGCGGCGGUUCACCUCGCGGAUGAGGUUGCUGUGGUCCAGCAUCGCGCUCACCUUCUCCGCCUCGGCGCGCCGCAGGCUGCGGAUCAGCUCCUCCUUGCUCCACUGCAGCAGCUCCUCGUCCGACACUUUGGACAGGUCCUCCACCGGCGCGGGCGGGGCCGCGGACGAGCCGGCCGGGGCUGGGGAACAACUUUCCGCCGCCGCCGCAGCCGCCGCCGCGCCUCCGGCCGCCUUCGACAUGGUACUAUGGCAGAAAUGGCCAGGGAAGGGUUUAUCUAACCACCAGGAGUACGCAAAGAAGAGAGGUCCAGCCAGCCUGCCUCUCAGAUUGUUAAGAUGCCAGGUGUCUUUUGGCUCAUGGAAACAGCUGUUCUGCCCCCUCCCGAACCCUAGACUCACAGCUACACUCUAUGGGGAAAGGACAAAGGGAAGGCUGCUUCCUGAAGAGAUCUCCAUAUGGAAGAGCUGCAGAUCACAAACAACCCACACAGCCAUUGUAACGCCUGCUUGCCUGGUCACUUGUGUUUCUGAGAAGCCAUAACUCCAAGAAUAGCGAAGGGAAGAAAAUGCCAAAAAGCAGGGGCUGCCUAACAGGUCUGACUUGCAAGGCAAACUCCUGGCAGGCCUGGCCAGCUUCUGCUUGUCCCAGUGCAAUCCCACCCCCAUAGGAUCUGGAAUUUUUCAGUCCCUUUGCUAAGAUUCCUGAAAUAGACUUAAUGAAGAGCCUCAGAAGUGAAAAUUCCUCUUCACACAUUUGCUCAAGAAGAUUGCUUUUCUCCUAACACAGAAAUCAGCUGCCUUGAGGAUGUGCAAGUUUGAUUAGGGAGUCUGCUCUUGCCUAUUUCUCAAACGGUUCAGGCCCUGACAGAAUCAGUGUCACCCCUAAGGUAUUUGCUUCAAAUGCCCCCCAUAUAAUCAAAACUUAUAAAUGAUAAACCAAAAGUUGAGGUACACUCAUUGCCUUUCAGAAUGAAACCUUCCAAGGGGCCAUGAUCAUAUUGUGACUGGACAAGAACUAUCAUGGAUGAGGCACAUCAUCUUUUGGAACCAUCUAUGGAACAGAUAUUAUUAUUCCAUUUUGCGGAAGAGGAAUCUGAGGCUCAGGCCAGACAGAUGCAGCUAACGUUGAGUGGCAUCCUGAUGAUCACCUUCAUCACAAAAGGAAGGAGUGCUCUGAGGACUGUAGGUGGCUCUCAGAACCCUGACCUCCACGGCAGCCAUCAAGGAGUGGCAAAGGGGGUCCACAGUGGCAUAUGCAGUGAGAUCCAAGUUUUAGGCAUUCGGAGUAGAGCAAGCCACGAAUGAGAACAGGUUCUGAAAGUGACAGAAAAGGAGUCACUUUUUUGGUUCCAUAUGAACUUUAAGGUAGUUUUUUCCCAGUUCUGUGAAGAAAGUCAUUGGUAGCUUGAUGGGGAUGGCAUUGAAUCUAUAAAUUACCUUGGACAGUAUGGCCAUUUUCAUGAUAUUGAUUCUUCCUACCCAUGAGCAUGGAAUGUUCUUCCAUUUGUUUGUAUCCUCUUUUAUUUCCUUGAGCAGUGGUUUGUAGUUAUCCUUGAAGAGGUUCUUCACAUCCCUUGUAAGUUGGAUUCCUAGGUAUUUUAUUCUCUUUGAAGCAAUUGUGAAUGGGAGUUCACUCAUGAUUUGGCUCUCUGUUUGUCUGUUGUUAGUGUAUAAGAAUGCUUGUGAUUUUUGUACAUUGAUUUUGUAUCCUGAGACUUUGCUGAAGUUGCUUAUCAGCUUAAGGAGAUUUUGGGCUGAGACAAUGGGGUUUUCUAGAUAUACAAUCAUGUCAUCUGCAAACAGGGACAAUUUGACUUCCUCUUUUCCUAAUUGAAUACCCUUUAUUUCCUUGUCCUGCCUAAUUGCCCUGGCCAGAACUUCCAACACUAUGUUGAAUAGGAGUGGUGAAAGAGGACAUCCCUGUCUUGUGCCAGUUUUCACAGGGAAUGCUUCCAGUUUUUGCCCAUUCAGUAUGAUAUUGGCUGUGGGUUUGUCAUAGAUAGCUCUUAUUAUUUUGACAUACGUCCCAUCAAUACCUAAUUUAUUGAGAGUUUUUAGCAUGAAGCGUUGUUGAAUUUUGUCAAAGGCCUUUUCUGCAUCUAUUGAGAUAAUCAUGUGGUUUUUGUCUUUGGUUCUGUUUAUAUGCUGGAUUACAUUUAUUGAUUUGUGUAUAUUGAACCAGCCUUGCAUCCCAGGGAUGAAGCCCACUUGAUCAUGGUGGAUAAGCUUUUUGAUGUGCUGCUGGAUUCGGUUUGCCAGUAUUUUAUUGAGGAUUUUUGCAUCAAUGUUCAUCAGGGAUAUUGGUCGAAAAUUCUCUUUUUUGGUUGUAUCUCUGCCCGGCUUUGGUAUCAGGAUGAUGCUGGCCUCAUAAAAUGAGUUAGGGAGUAUUCCCUCUUUUUCUAUUGAUUGGAAUAUCACCAAGUCCAUCCUAAGCCAAAAGAACAAAGCUGGAGGCAUCACACUACCUGACUUCAAACUAUACUACAAGGCUACAGUAACCAAAACAGCAUGGUACUGGUACCAAAACAGAGAUAUAGAUCAAUGGAACAGAACAGAGCCCUCAGAAAUAACACCGCAUAUCUACAAUUAUCUGAUCUUUGACAAACCUGACAAAAACAAGCAAUGGGGAAAGGAUUCCCUAUUUAAUAAAUGGUGCUGGGAAAACUGGCUAGCCAUAUGUAGAAAGCUGAAACUGGAUCCCUUCCUUACACCUUAUACAAAAAUCAAUUCAAGAUGGAUUAAAGACUUAAACGUUAGACCUAAAACCAUAAAAACCCUAGAAGAAAACCUAGGCAUUACCAUUCAGGACAUAGGCAUAGGCAAGGACUUCAUGUCUAAAACACCAAAAGCAGUGGCAACAAAAGCCAAAAUUGACAAACGGGAUCUAAUUAAGCUAAAGAGCCUCUGCACAGCAAAAGAAACUACCAUCAGAGUGAACAGGCAACCUACAAAAUGGGAGAAAAUUUUCGCAACCUACUCAUCUGACAAAGGGCUAAUAUCCAGAAUCUACAAUGAACUCAAACAAAUUUAC
rnacentral:lncRNA from 1 species